GCCAGUCAGACGUAGCAAGAUGGUCUCUCCGGUUCAGUUUAUCUGGCUGUUAGUGUUCUGGAUCCAGGAUUCCAAUGGGCAGAUUGUGAUGACUCAAACUCCAGAAUCCCUGGCAGUGUCUCCUGGAGACACAGUCACUAUCCGCUGCAAAGCCAGUUCAAGUGUCAGCAUUGGCAGCAAUAACUACUUAGCCUGGUACCAACAGAAAUCAGGACAAGCUCCGAAACUCCUUAUCUAUGCUGGAAGCUCCCUGCAAUCUGGAGUCCCAGCCCGGUUCAGCGGCAGCGGGUCUGGCACUGAUUUCACUCUCACAAUCAGUAAGGUUGAAGCUGAAGAUGCUGGAGAUUAUUACUGUCAGCAGUCUCACAGCUCACCUCUCACAGUGAUACAGGCCAAUACAAAAACCUCCAUCCUGUUCCUUUCAGGACAAGAUUUCAAGGAUGAUUUUGACUUGUACGUGGCACGUAAUGUGCCUUCUGAUGAGAGCAUAAUAGCCUUUGAAUAUGGAGAUGUGAAUCCGAGAUAUUUUCCUGUUAUGUCCAGUGUGGCAUUACCUGCACUUGCAAUUCCA